rnacentral:rRNA from 1 species
GAUGAACGCUGGCGGCGUGCCUAAUACAUGCAAGUCGAGCGAACAGAUAAGGAGCUUGCUCCUUUGAAGUUAGCGGCGGACGGGUGAGUAACACGUGGGUAACCUACCUAUAAGACUGGGAUAACUUCGGGAAACCGGAGCUAAUACCGGAUAACAUUUAGAACCGCAUGGUUCUAAAGUGAAAGAUGGUUUUGCUAUCACUUAUAGAUGGACCCGCGCCGUAUUAGCUAGUUGGUAAGGUAACGGCUUACCAAGGCGACGAUACGUAGCCGACCUGAGAGGGUGAUCGGCCACACUGGAACUGAGACACGGUCCAGACUCCUACGGGAGGCAGCAGUAGGGAAUCUUCCGCAAUGGGCGAAAGCCUGACGGAGCAACGCCGCGUGAGUGAUGAAGGGUUUCGGCUCGUAAAACUCUGUUAUUAGGGAAGAACAAAUGUGUAAGUAACUGUGCACAUCUUGACGGUACCUAAUCAGAAAGCCACGGCUAACUACGUGCCAGCAGCCGCGGUAAUACGUAGGUGGCAAGCGUUAUCCCGAAUUAUUGGGCGUAAAAGCGCGCGUAGGCGGUUUCUUAAAUCUGAUGUGAAAGCCCACGGCUCAACCGUGGAGGGUCAUUGGAAACUGGGAAACUUGAGUGCAGAAGAGGAAAGUGGAAUUCCAUGUGUAGCGGUGAAAUGCGCAGAGAUAUGGAGGAACACCAGUGGCGAAGGCGACUUUCUGGUCUGUAACUGACGCUGAUGUGCGAAAGCGUGGGGAUCAAACAGGAUUAGAUACCCUGGUAGUCCACGCCGUAAACGAUGAGUGCUAAGUGUUAGGGGGUUUCCGCCCCUUAGUGCUGCAGCUAACGCAUUAAGCACUCCGCCUGGGGAGUACGACCGCAAGGUUGAAACUCAAAGGAAUUGACGGGGACCCGCACAAGCGGUGGAGCGUGUGGUUUAAUUCGAAGCAACGCGAAGAACCUUACCAAAUCUUGACAUCCUUUGAAAACUCUAGAGAUAGAGCCUUCCCCUUCGGGGGACAAAGUGACAGGUGGUGCAUGGUUGUCGUCAGCUCGUGUCGUGAGAUGUUGGGUUAAGUCCCGCAACGAGCGCAACCCUUAAGCUUAGUUGCCAUCAUUAAGUUGGGCACUCUAGGUUGACUGCCGGUGACAAACCGGAGGAAGGUGGGGAUGACGUCAAAUCAUCAUGCCCCUUAUGAUUUGGGCUACACACGUGCUACAAUGGACAAUACAAAGGGCAGCUAAACCGCGAGGUCAUGCAAAUCCCAUAAAGUUGUUCUCAGUUCGGAUUGUAGUCUGCAACUCGACUACAUGAAGCUGGAAUCGCUAGUAAUCGUAGAUCAGCAUGCUACGGUGAAUACGUUCCCGGGUCU